rnacentral:lncRNA from 1 species
UGAUGGACGAUCGUGCUCUUUGGAAGGAGCCUCAGCGACACCUCUGCAAAGCCUUGCAGUGCACCUGCUGAGAUGAAGCUGGCACCAGGCCACACAUACUGACCUGACCUUUCCCAUCCACAUUCAGUCAGCCCACAGAACAGAGCUGCUGCAGAAGUCCUUUUCCAGCCAGCAUGCCCACAUUGUGGCCUUUGCCACAGAACCAAAGUCUCUGUGGAAAGAACAGUCAUCCUUGUUCAUGCUUUUGGAGAUGCUUCUUAAAUAUCUGUCAAAACCGAAUUGCUCAGCCUUUUUGUGAUGGCUUUCCUCUAUACAUGCUAACUGUCUACUCCGUCUCGAGGGAGAACAUCUUUCAGGAAGGUGGCUUUAACUCACAAGCACCGAUGACAUACUGCUGAUGUUAAAGUGCUGCAGGUUCCUGCCAUUGCCAAAUUCCAGCUUUCUUAGUGGCACAGUUAUGUAUUGCAUGGGCAAAAAACGUUUCCCAUCUUUCAGCCACUAUUUUAAUAAAGAAAUGCUUUUGAUAUCUAUAGUUUGCUUU